rnacentral:rRNA from 1 species
UACGUAGGGUGCGAGCGUUGUCCGGAAUUAUUGGGCGUAAAGAGCUCGUAGGCGGUUUGUCACGUCUGCUGUGAAAUCCCGAGGCUCAACCUCGGGCCUGCAGUGGGUACGGGCAGACUGGAGUGCGGUAGGGGAGAAUGGAAUUCCUGGUGUAGCGGUGGAAUGCGCAGAUAUCAGGAGGAACACCGGUGGCGAAGGCGGGUCUCUGGGCAGUAACUGACGCUGAGGAGCGAAAGCGUGGGGAGCAAACAGG